rnacentral:lncRNA from 1 species
GAGCCCAGGAGGCGGGGCGCCUGUGGGAGCCGUGGAGGGAACUUUCCCAGUCCCCGAGGCGGAUCCGGUGUUGCAUCCUUGGAGCGAGCUGAGAGCUCGAGAACCUGCUAAGGCCAUCAAACCUAUUGAUCGGAAGUCAGUCCAUCAGAUUUGCUCUGGGCCGGUGGUACCGAGUCUAAGCACUGCGGUGAAGGAGUUAGUAGAAAACAGUCUGGAUGCUGGUGCCACUAAUAUUGAUCUAAAGCUUAAGGACUAUGGAGUGGAUCUCAUUGAAGUUUCAGGCAAUGGAUGUGGGGUAGAAGAAGAAAACUUCGAAGGCUUAACUCUGAAACAUCACACAUCUAAGAUUCAAGAGUUUGCCGACCUACCUCAGGUUGAAACUUUUGGCUUUCGGGGGGAAGCUCUGAGCUCACUUUGUGCACUGAGUGAUGUCACCAUUUCUACCUGCCAUGUAUCGGCGAAGGUUGGGACUCGACUGGUGUUUGAUCACUAUGGGAAAAUCAUCCAGAAAACCCCCUACCCCCACCCCAGAGGGAUGACAGUCAGUGUGAAGCAGUUAUUUUCUACGCUACCUGUGCACCAUAAAGAAUUUCAAAGGAAUAUUAAGAAGCCUCCAAUUUACAGUCUAAAACAUGUACGCGGUGGCCCUGAGCUGUUGUGUAAAUGGACUCACUGCCCUGAGGCCACCAUGCUGCAAGGAAGCCCAAGCUAACCCUAGGAUGUGCCCUGAGACGACAUGAAGACGCAUCCCCAGCCAGCCUUCCACUACCCCAUCCUUCACUGCCCCAUUCUCACCCCCGCCCACCUCCUUACUCCCUCCACCCCUCCACCUGCCUCCAGCCAGAAUUGCACAGCCAACUACUUCCAGAAUCGCUGGUCCAAAGAAAUCACGACAGGCGCUAAGUUUGGGGCAAUCCAUUUAAUGCUACUAAGUUGUGGGAUGGUUUGUUUGAGCAGCCCCAGAUAACAAACAUUCCUUGAGGUCACACGCUAACCAAGCUGUGAUUCGAACACUGCCUCUCAAAUUCACGAGCAAAAGAGGGGGAAUUCUGUUUAAAAUGCCAAAAAGAACUCUUUCUUGCUUUUAUUAUUUUUAAUUUAUGUAUAAUAAUUGUAUGUUUAUAUAAUAAUUGUAAUAAUUUACGGGAUACAGGUGAUAUUUCAAUAUAUGUAUACAAUGUGUAAUGAUCACAUCAGGGUGAUUAGCGGAUUCAUUUCCUCAGUUAUCAUUUCUUUGUGUUGGGAACAUUCAAAAUCUGCUCUUCUACCUAUUUGAAUAUAGAAAAUAAAUUGUUUUGUUUUGUUUUUGA